GAAUUCGAUUAACGCGAAGAACCUUACCCAGGCUUGAACAGCGAGUGACCACCUACGAAAGUAGGCUUCCGCAAGGACACUCGUAGAGGUGCUGCAUGGCUGUCGUCAGCUCGUGUCGUGAGAUGUUGGGUUAAGUCCCGCAACGAGCGCAACCCUUGUCUGCUGUUGCCAUCACGUUAUGGUGGGCACUCUGCAGAGACUGCCGGUGAUAAACCGGAGGAAGGUGGGGAUGACGUCAAGUCAGCAUGGCCUUUAUGUCUGGGGCUACACACGUGCUACAAUGGCCGACACAAACCGUCGCGAUACCGCGAGGUGGAGCUAAUCGGAGAAAGUCGGUCUCAGUUCGGAUAGCAGGCUGCAACUCGCCUGCUUGAAGUUGGAAUCGCUAGUAAUCGCGGAUCAGCACGCCGCGGUGAAUACGUUCCCGGGCCUUGUCACACCGAAUCACUA
rnacentral:rRNA from 1 species